rnacentral:rRNA from 1 species
GUGGGGAAUCUUAGACAAUGGGGGCAACCCUGAUCUAGCCAUGCCGCGUGAGUGAUGAAGGCCUUAGGGUCGUAAAGCUCUUUCGCCGGGGAAGAUAAUGACUGUACCCGGUAAAGAAACCCCGGCUAACUCCGUGCCAGCAGCCGCGGUAAUACGGAGGGGGUUAGCGUUGUUCGGAAUUACUGGGCGUAAAGCGCGCGUAGGCGGAUCGGAAAGUUGGGGGUGAAAUCCCGGGGCUCAACCCCGGAAUUGCCUUCAAAACUCCCGGUCUUGAGGUCGAGAGAGGUGAGUGGAAUUCCGAGUGUAGAGGUGAAAUUCGUAGAUAUUCGGAGGAACACCAGUGGCGAAGGCGGCUCACUGGCUCGAUACUGACGCUGAGGUGCGAAAGCGUGGGGAGCAAACAGGAUUAGAAACCCCAGUAGUCC